rnacentral:rRNA from 1 species
GCAUAUCAAUAAGCGGAGGAAAAGAAACCAACUGGGAUUGCCUUAGUAACGGCAAGUGAAGCGGCAAUAGCUCAAAUUUGAAAGCUGGCCCCUUUGGGGUCCGCGUUGUAAUUUGUAGAGGAUGAUUCGGCGAGGGCUCCCGUCUAAGUCCCCUGGAACGGGGCGUCAUAGAGGGUGAGAAUCCCGUAUGUGAUGGGUUGCCUUAGCCAUGUGAAUCUCCUUCGACGAGUCGAGUUGUUUGGGAAUGCAGCUCUAAAUGGGAGGUAAAUUUCUUCUAAAGCUAAAUACCGGCCAGAGACCGAUAGCGCACAAGUAGAGUGAUCGAAAGAUGAAAAGCACUUUGGAAAGAGAGUUAAAAAGUACGUGAAAUUGUUGAAAGGGAAGCGCUUGCAGCCAGACUUGUCCGCAGUUGCUCAGCCGGUCUCCUGACCGGCGUACUCUUCUGCGGCCAGGCCAGCAUCAGUUCGGGCGGUCGGAUAAAGGCCCCAGGAAUGUAGCUCCUCUCGGGGAGUGUUAUAGCCUGGGGUGGAAUGCGACCAGCCUGGACUGAGGAUCUCGCUUCGGCUAGGAUGCUGGCGUAAUGGCUGUAAGCGGCCCGUCUUGAAACACGGACC